UCCCUGGUGGAUCAGUGGUUAGGACUCAGCACUUUCACUGCCAUGGGCCUGGGUUCAAUCCCUGGCCAGGGAC
rnacentral:tRNA from 1 species